rnacentral:rRNA from 1 species
UACGUAGGGGGGCUAGCGUUGUCCGGAUUUAUUGGGCGUAAAGAGCGUGUAGGCGGCCAUGUAGGUCCGGUGUGAAAACUCGAGGCUUAACCUCGAGAUGUCAUCGGAAACCAUUUGGCUAGAGUCCGGAAGAGGAGAGUGGAAUUCCUGGUGUAGCGGUGAAAUGCGCAGAUAUCAGGAAGAACACCAAUGGCGAAAGCAGCUCUCUGGGACGGUACUGACGCUGAGACGCGAAAGCGUGGGGGAGCGAACAGG